rnacentral:rRNA from 1 species
ACUCCUGCGGGAGGCAGCAGUGGGGAAUAUUGGACAAUGGGCGCAAGCCUGAUCCAGCCAUGCCGCGUGAGUGAUGAAGGCCCUAGGGUUGUAAAGCUCUUUCACCGGAGAAGAUAAUGACGGUAUCCGGAGAAGAAGCCCCGGCUAACUUCGUGCCAGCAGCCGCGGUAAUACGAAGGGGGCUAGCGUUGUUCGGAAUUACUGGGCGUAAAGCGCACGUAGGCGGAUCGAUCAGUCAGGGGUGAAAUCCCAGGGCUCAACCCUGGAACUGCCUUUGAUACUGUCGAUCUGGAGUAUGGAAGAGGUGAGUGGAAUUCCGAGUGUAGAGGUGAAAUUCGUAGAUAUUCGGAGGAACACCAGUGGCGAAGGCGGCUCACUGGUCCAUUACUGACGCUGAGGUGCGAAAGCGUGGGGAGCAAACAGGAUUAGAAACCCCUGUAGUCC